CUGUACAAAGGUAUAACUAGCAGCACUUACAAGUCCCCCUAUAGGACCCAAAAUGGAGUCCAACAACUAGCAGCAAAUGCUGGUUAUAGAGAAAACUUCACUAAAGUGCUACCCCAAGAUUAUCUGAAUACCCACAUCACCAAAUCUGUUACAACUGAAACUAGCACAGCAGUGGCACCUGAUGAAAGAGACUUAAUAAUGUGAUAAAAAAGAACAGCAUGUCAGCAGCGAGAAUCCGAGUAAAUCUACAACUGUGAUGGAUAAUAGGACAUGACUAAGAAAUAAUUCUUUACAUUUAGAUAAAAUAAAAGCCAGAGGUAUCAAGUCUGGAGAUGUUUCACCUCCUGGGGAAGUAAAAUAUCCUGGUUUGACCUGGCUCAAGAGGCUGGCAAACAAAGAACUGCAAACUAGAGAGAGAGAGAGAGAGAUCACCUUGAUUUGGGAAAAAGGUCACAGACUCUCCAAGAACUGAAAGACCUGAGCCUAUGACCAAACACAGGCCCUGAGGUACUUAGGAACCUGCCAGGGUCUCCAUGCUGUAGAUGAAUGAAAAAUGCACCUCAUGAAGAUUUGCUUGUCAAGUGGCUUAGCAUAUCUUUCAGGUUAUGAAUACUGUCACAUCUGUUGGUUGUUCAGGGAUACAGGAACUUGAAAAUCAACAUGGUUAACAGAGAUGGGAAGAAUACACUAAAGUCAAUGUCUUGUCAUGGAAGGAGCAAACAACAUGUGCAGUCACAUGGGGAAGCUCUCCAAUCACAGGUCACAGGAUCAAUGCCUGUUUUGAUAAACAAGCAUCUGAAAAUAGUAAGAAAUGGCAAGAUGUACAAAAAAUAUUGCUUGAUAGUCAAAAUUUUAGCUAGUUUAACUAGUCCCCUUCCAUGGUCGCUAUGAUGUGUUAGAGAGCAACAGUUGUGGUUAGCUACUUGUCAGACAUAACACAACUUUUGCCUAUCAUUCCAGUGGCACCAUGAGAAUCAAAUACUUGAGCAAGACAGUUACUAAUAAAUGUAUGUCUUUCAGCACCAGAAACCAGGAGGUGCAUACUUAAUAGCUGUCUAGAAGCUAGGUGUUUUUUUUUACUAUCAUUGCAGAUGCAACC